AUGGUAUUGCUAAUACCAUUGUAAUACAUUACUGAUCUAAUCGGUGAAAUUCACCGAUUUGUAAUCCAGAUUAGGCGCCGCUUCAGUUUCCCUUUCCUGUUUUACCCUCCCACCGGCUUCCCCUUUGUUUCUCUUCUGUUCCUUCUAGCCUCUGCCGAUUUGCUCCCUCCCAUCGAUUUCAUUUGUCAGUUCGUCGGCAGUCGUUCUUCAAGACACACUCCGUUGGAGCUGCUUAGAAGCUAGUAGUAUUGUUAAAGAAAUGUUACUUUUGAUGAAUUGGGUAUCGAUAUUUCUAUGGUUUUUUGCUCUUUUUUGUCCAAAAGAAGUUGCUUUUUCAACCGAGGAUUGCAUUUAGAGCCCUAAAUCUCAUAGGUUCAAAGGAGUAGACAUUUGACAGUUAAAAGCUCUUGCAAUACUGAUCUAGGAAGAUGAUGGAUCAUUUCGGUUCUGAUGCAAGAUGUUUCGACCUGAUGCAAGAUGUUUCGAAAUCUCAAUGUUUGUUUCAUUUCUCUUUUCAAUUCCAACAUUGCAAUGUGUUUUUCUCGUCUUUGUUUGCCUAAUAAAGCAGGUACCUUUUUGUUAAAUGUUUUCUUGAUCUGUUGGCCAAGAGUUUGUGCUAAGAUUUGCAUUUCAACUUUAGGUAUUAUUCUUAUUUAUGCUGUGGAGACUCGUAUCUAUAUAUAAACUAAACUAUGGAACCACUUCUGAGUAAUUUGCAAAUAAUGAAUGAAUCAGCUUCUCAAGCUAGUAUUAAGCUGUGUCACUUUCAUCUGCGCAUAAUGUGAUGGUUUGAUAGUUGAAAUUAUGGAUGAUCUGAAUCUAGCUGUAGGUGAUUAAAUAUAUGAUCACCAAAGUAGUGGCAUCCAUCUAAAGUAGUUUUCUACCUUCUUGGGAUGAGUUCAGUUAAGUCUAUAUCAUCAUCCUCGCCUUGGCAUAUUGCAUUCAUUUUAGCUAUAGAGUAAUUUGCACAAUUGGUGAUUAUCGUUUGACAUUUCUCAAUCUUCUAUACUGGCCUAGUAGUCAUUCUUCUCUCCUAACCUUUCUCAUAUGU